CAGCCCCAGUCCCAAGUUGCGGGAGCAAUAUUGUUGGUUGCUAGUUCCUGCCUGAACCCUGCCCUGCUUUCCUGCCUGAGCUCCUGACCCGACCUGGCUCCCUGUUUGCAAGCCUUUUCCUGACUUCACCUGACUCCCUGCCCUGCACCCAGCUUCAGCUACUACCAACUGCCUCCACAUUGCACCUUUGACCACGGACCGGACUUGGACCUCACCUCUCGGGUAACCCAUGGGACUGGCACACUUUCUUCUGUCUGUUCCAGUGUUCAGCUUCAUAGGAUAUCCAUCAGUUUUAGUGUUAUGAAAGAGGGAGAAAACCCUUUUUCUAUUAACUUUCUACAUGCCAUGCAUAAUUCUAUAAACUUCUGUCAUAGUGCCUCUUCCUCACCUUUUCUCUGCAUCAAGACAUCCCAAACACUGCUGCUUCUUCAUAGGGGAAUCCUUCCAGCUCCUUGAUUAUUUUGGUGGCCCUUUUCUGAACCUUUUCCAACUCGACAAUAGCCUUUUUGAGGUGUGGCAGCCAGAUUUGUACACAUCCCUCCAAAGUGGUCACACCAUAGAUUUGUAUAAUGGGAUUAUGAUACUGGCAGUUUUAUUUUCAAUUCCUUUCCUAACUAUCCCUAGCAUGGAAUUUGCCUUUUUCAUGGCCAUCACUCACUGGGUCGAUGCCUUUCUUGAGUUAUCUACUGUGACCCCAGGGUCUCGCUCCUCCACCCUACUGUCAGCACAAGAGAACAGCUGUAAAUGGAUUCUCCCAAAUAUUGCCACAGACUCCAGCCUGCUGCAAUUGGAUGAAUGGAAGUAGCAGAUUCCACCCAGUCUGCAGGUCAUACAUUUCCCAACCUAGGAGUAGUCAAAGGGAAGUGAAGGACACUGUGGUGCUGCCCCAAAAUUGUGAGGAUGGUGCCUGCUUUGUUCUGGAAUUUGAUCAUGAAAGUUUUUUGACUGAGUGGGAAAAAAAGAGUGUAAUAUGUCUGCAUCCAGUGCUUAUCAAUACCAAUACUAUAUCCCAGGCAUGAAAAGAGUGGGAAACACUAAUAUGGAGGUGAGGAAUGCAAUCACUCUUGAUUUCUCCAAUUACAGAAUGGAAUAUCAAUUUUGAAAAGACAGACAAGCAAAGACAAAAUAUCAUUGCAGAGACAGAAGCUUGGAUCAAUUAUUUCCUUCUCCAAAUAGGACCACCUGUUGUUCUGACAUCACUGUUGGAUGAAGCAGCCAUUUCUUGUCCAGCUAAAAGUAAACACAUUUGUUACCAUCUGCCAAAAAGCAGAGAUGAAGACAGACAUAUUACCUAGAGAUCACAGUACAGCUGUCUUGCAAAAAACAACUUUCUCCAUGAGUCUCUCACUGCCUGUGACCUCCAACUGUAGCAUCCUAAGGCAUCUGAGGGUCUCCUGCUCUGCUCCCUUUCACUUGCCACCCCUUAUGCCUGGAACUGCUCUUCUGAACACAUAAGUGCCAGCUUUCUCUGUGACUCAACACCCAAGUCUUCAACAAAAGCAAAGUCUGAGUGUUUGGAAGGGACAUGUUUCAGUCUGUUAUACUGGUUCUGCGAGGACAUGGAGAAUUGCGAAGGGGAUUCGGAAAGAAAUCAAAGCGCUCUUGCCAAGGGUGAAAGAAGAUUCUGAGAGGCAAAGGGAUCAGUUUGGGAACGUGGAGAACAAGGUACUAACUGAGACACAAAAUUCUUGAAUAAACAUUGUUCUGGAGUAGCCAAAAACCCGCUGCUGGAAGAUGAUCAUCUCAUCCAUGAAGGAAAGGAAGACAUGACAAAAGUCUGGAAUGCAUCCUGCCUUUGGUGCUGAGACCACCUUGGUCACCCUGUAUGAAGACUGCGUUGGGACAGAGGGAGGAAAAUACGUCCCUGUUGAUACACCUCGACCUCUGCAGCUUCCAGUACUAUUCAGCAUGGUAUUCUUUGGGAGUUACUGUCGGAGUUUGGAGCAGCAGGCACUGCUUUGAAGGGUUUGUGUUCCUAUUUGGGUGGCCGGUUCCAAAAAAUGAAGGUAUUGUUUGACCCCAUGGAGCCUCCGGUGCGAGGUUCUUCAGGGUUUGGUAUCACACCGGUACGGUAACAUCUACAUCAGGCAUAGGGAAACUCGGCCCUCCAGCUGUUUUGGGACUACAACUCCCAUGAUUC